AAAAGACCUGAGCUCAGGCAGAACUCUGGAUUUUGCAGAGUCAUGUUAACCGUUAGGUUUAAGCAUUUAUUAUUGUCAUUCCUAUUUGAUAGAAUUGCAACUUUGCAAGCUGAAAGUACAAAGCUUGACACUCAUGUUAUGAGCCUUUUUCAUGAUAAAACAAAAAAAAAAUGAUAGCAAAAAGAGACUUAACAAAUUUAUUCUAACUGCACUGAUAACAAAUCGUACUGCUAUUUCAGAAGUCAUGGAGCAUUGCAAAUAUUGUACAAUGGGAACUCAAAUUUGUGUGCUCUCAAAAAUAAUAUCAAAGUUGGAUGGUAUGUUACAUGUAAUAAAAUCAGUUCAUAAAACAGGAGUUAUUUGCUAUAACAGUGUUCA
rnacentral:lncRNA from 1 species